GAGCGGAUGGCCUGUUUAAUAUCUCGGACUUUAAUAGAUUCUUUUUUUUAACGGUUGAGGUUUCCGUCGGACCUCCGGAAGUAAACUGGUGACAAUGCGGCUUUAACAUGGAGCGUCCGACUCACCUGGAGCACCAUGGUACCAACAAACUGAACAAUGAAAGCUCCACCAAUCACAAUGACGCCAAACGAUAAAGCUGCAGAGACAUCAAAAAUUAAUUAUGGAAUUACAAGUGGCCAAGUGUGGUUUCAAACAGUAUUAUCAUUUUUAAACUGACGUAUUUUUUUUCUGAUAUCAUGAUUCGCUUAAUCAAAGACCGUACUUAAUCGAGGGUAGCGCUAACGUAAAAAUCCUAAAUUUUAAUCUUUUGCUAAAUUCGAACGAGACUAGCAGUAUGAGCCAGCGUUGAUAGCAAGCGAGAGACGUAAAGACACAACGAUGAUGCUUCAUCAGCCGUGGAGCUUAAUCGAGGGGCUAUAUAUUCGGGUUUGGGACUUACCUACUAUCUUGCAUAUCUUCGCCUGGUCGCCGUCUGACAAGUCCGUCAUCCUUUUCUUGACGAUGUCUUCGAGUACGACGAGAGCCAUCGCGUUAAGGGCGGAGGAGGCGGUGCUGAUGCAAAUCAACAUUUAGCGUCAAGUUAUUGAAGAACUCUUAAAUCUAUAAACUAAGGAGAAGGGAAAAGCCCACGACAACCGACAUUAUAUUGUGAUUUUAUUAUCUAAUUACAAGGCUUGUGAAACUUUUAAAUGCAAUGAAAAACAA